rnacentral:rRNA from 1 species
GGGGAAUAUUGGACAAUGGGGGCAACCCUGAUCCAGCAAUGCCGCGUGUGUGAAGAAGGUCUUCGGAUUGUAAAGCACUUUCGACGGGGACGAUGAUGACGGUACCCGUAGAAGAAGCCCCGGCUAACUUCGUGCCAGCAGCCGCGGUAAUACGAAGGGGGCUAGCGUUGCUCGGAAUGACUGGGCGUAAAGGGCGUGUAGGCGGUUUACACAGUCAGAUGUGAAAUCCCCGGGCUUAACCUGGGAGCUGCAUUUGAUACGUGUAGACUAGAGUGUGAGAGAGGGUUGUGGAAUUCCCAGUGUAGAGGUGAAAUUCGUAGAUAUUGGGAAGAACACCGGUG